UAAGGAAUAUUGGUCAAUGGACGCAAGUCUGAACCAGCCAUGCCGCGUGAAGGAUGAAGGUCCUCUGGAUUGUAAACUUCUUUUAUCUGGGACGAAAACGGGAUUUUUAUCUCAAUUGACGGUACCAGAGGAAUAAGCACCGGCUAACUCCGUGCCAGCAGCCGCGGUAAUACGGAGGGUGCGAGCGUUAUCCGGAUUUACUGGGUUUAAAGGGUGCGUAGGUGGGCUUAUAAGUCAGUGGUGAAAUCUCCGAGCUUAACUUGGGAACUGCCGGUGAUACUAUAGGGCUUGAAGUAUCUGGAGGUAAGCGGAAUAUGUCAUGUAGCGGUGAAAUGCGUAGAUAUGACAUAGAACACCAAUUGCGAAGGCAGCUUACUACAUAUAAAUUGACGCUGAGGCACGAAAG
rnacentral:rRNA from 1 species